AAACCGCUAAGGUAUGGAAUGCUCUUCCGGCGUCCGUGUUUCCUGCCCCAAGUAGGUAUAUUUAAGUACC